AUACUACUCCCUCCGCCCGGAAAUACUUGUCGCAUAAAUGGAUGAAAAUGGAUGUAUCUAGAAUUAAAAUGCAUCUAGAUACAUGCAUUUCAAUGACAAGUAUUUCUGGACGGAGGGAGUACAUC
rfam:Triticum aestivum genome assembly, contig: Triticum_aestivum_CS42_TGACv1_scaffold_220914_3B